UACGUAGGGGGCGAGCGUUGUCCGGAGUUACUGGGCGUAAAGCGCGUGUAGGCGGUUAUGCAAGUCGGGGGUGAAAGCCCCGGGCUCAACCCGGGAAGUGCAUUCGAUACUGCGUAGCUAGAGUACUGGAGAGGAUGGUGGAACUCUCGGUGUAGAGGUGAAAUUCGUAGAUAUCGAGAAGAACACCGGUGGCGAAGGCGGCCAUCUGGACAGAUACUGACGCUGAGACGCGAAAGCGUGGGGAGCAAACAGG
rnacentral:rRNA from 1 species